rnacentral:tRNA from 1 species
GGGGAUGUAGCUCAGUGGUAGUGUACUUGCCUAGUGUGCAUGAGGCCCUGGGUUCAAUCCCCAGCAUCCUCU